rnacentral:rRNA from 1 species
GACGAACGCUGGCGGCGUGCUUAACACAUGCAAGUCGAACGGAAAGGCCCUGCUUUUGUGGGGUGCUCGAGUGGCGAACGGGUGAGUAACACGUGAGUAACCUGCCCUUGACUUUGGGAUAACUUCAGGAAACUGGGGCUAAUACCGGAUAGGAGCUCCCGCUGCAUGGUGGGGGUUGGAAAGUUUCGGCGGUGGGGGAUGGACUCGCGGCUUAUCAGCUUGUUGGUGGGGUAGUGGCUUACCAAGGCUUUGACGGGUAGCCGGCCUGAGAGGGUGACCGGCCACAUUGGGACUGAGAUACGGCCCAGACUCCUACGGGAGGCAGCAGUGGGGAAUAUUGCACAAUGGGCGGAAGCCUGAUGCAGCAACGCCGCGUGCGGGAUGACGGCCUUCGGGUUGUAAACCGCUUUCGCCUGUGACGAAGCGUGAGUGACGGUAAUGGGUAAAGAAGCACCGGCUAACUACGU